CCAAGCUCAGCCUCUUCACAAGCCAUCUCUUCCCUUUCAAUUUGCAUGGGUGUUAGAGCAUUACAAAUAAAUUUCUCAUCAAAAAUUGAUUGAUUGAUCAUUCCCCCACUCAGAAUUAUGAUCAUAAGGCUCCUUAGCAGUCAAAGAACUGAACUCAUUAAGUCUCCUCCAAAGAUAAGUACAAAAUUGUCAUGUACAUGUUUAUUCAACAGGUUUUCAAGAUUUCAAUGGAUAGGCAUCAACUGAAGUUUGUUUCAUCCAAGCACAAGCACCAAAAUGAUAUCAUAAACUUGUGAAUGCUUGUUCAUAGUACAAGAAGAUUGACAGGAAGACAAAUUCAAAUGCUACUCCAAAAUCAGCAUGCCACAAUCGACACGAAGCUUAACUAUUGAGCUUAAUCCAAUCAUCAAGAACAACUCCUUUGUUUUUGUGCAUCAAGUCAAGAGUUGAAACCCCGCCUAACACAUCACACAAAAAUCAUAGUGCUUCUUAUUCUUAAAAUAUACAGAGAGACUGUACUAGUGCAACCAGUCUCUGUUUAGGCUUCCCCUCCCCAUAAAAUAUUAGUAGGAAUAGGUUAAGAUAGUUUAAAAAAAAAAUACACGAGGAUUACUAGGCUGUCGGUCUUAAGCAACCAAAAAUACAGCACAAAACCAAAAAAAAAAAGAAACAACAACCACCCUCCAGCCCAAGCAAAACAAGGAAUACCCUCCUUUGAACAAUGUCGACCAACUAGGCUAUUUCGAACAACCAAAAGAAGGGAGCUAUUUGGAUCAACUAGGCUAUCUGAGCUGGAAAACAGGCGAUACCCUCCUUCGAACUAUGUCUUGAAUCUGUUCCUCAGACAAAAUUGAUGCCUCUAUCUCAAAAUUGGCUCUCUCCAUCUGCUGCUGAAUCUACAGAACCCCCAAAAAAAAAAAAAUGGCACUUAGCAGAUAAAUAUAAAGUUUUAUGCAAAUGAAGAGGAUUUACAUCUCCAAAGGAUUUCAAACCUGCAUGACUUUAGGUUGAUUACAGUCAACCUUACCAAAUAUCAAGCUAAGAAUCGUGGUUAAGCAACAAUAGCUUAUAUAAGAGUUCAAGUCGUACCUUCUCCAGGACUGCAGACUGGUCAUCUAGAUGAAAAUUGCGCAUGUAUUUUAGCAUCUCCAGUUGCUGCAAAAAGUAUUAAGCCUCACGUUUCUGUAAAAUCAUUUUGUCCAGUGGAUUCUAACUAAAAGUCAAAGAAUCUUCACCUGCUCUUGUAAUUUAUGUUGCAUAUGCAUUCUUUCUGCAAAUUUUUCUGGUCCAAGCUCAGCCUCUUCACAAGCCAUCUCUUCCCUUUCAAUUUGCAUGGGUGUUAGAGCAUUACAAAUAAAUUUCUCAUCAAAAAUUGAUUGAUUGAUCAUUCCCCCACUCAGAAUUAUGAUCAUAAGGCUCCUUAGCAGUCAAAGAACUGAACUCAUUAAGUCUCCUCCAAAGAUAAGUACAAAAUUGUCAUGUACAUGUUUAUUCAACAGGUUUUCAAGAUUUCAAUGGAUAGGCAUCAACUGAAGUUUGUUUCAUCCAAGCACAAGCACCAAAAUGAUAUCAUAAACUUUUGAUAGAACUUUUAACCAUGCCUUCCCUCACCCCCUCUCCCCAUCCCCCCC
rnacentral:lncRNA from 1 species